UACAGAGGUCCCAAGCGUUGUUCGGAUUCAUUGGGCGUAAAGCGCGCGUAGGUGGCCCCAUAAGUCCGCUGUGAAAGUCAAAGGCUCAACCUUUGAAAGCCGGUGGAUACUGUGGGACUAGAGUACGGAAGAGGCGAGUGGAAUUCCUGGUGUAGCGGUGGAAUGCGCAGAUAUCAGGAGGAACACCAAUAGCGAAGGCAGCUCGCUGGGACGUUACUGACACUGAGGCGCGAAAGCGUGGGGAGCAAACGGG
rnacentral:rRNA from 1 species